AUCACACUGGUUUGGAAACUCAGGAUCUAUUUCAUAAGAAUAUUCUUAUCUUAUUAUAUACCCUAGUUUUUUUUAAUACUGGGGGAUUGGGUUGGUAUCUGACAUACAUCUCCUAGUUGGGACCUCUUAUAUGUUGGCUGCCAGCACCCCCAUGCACAAGAAGUAUAUGUUGAGUCAUGACAAUUAAUGACGGUUUCUUCUGCUUUUUAUUGUUUGAUUUCAGUACUUACCUUCAUCCAGUACUAUCUUGGCAGAAUUUGAUCCAGAGGAUUGUCCACCUGAUUGUUCAAGACCAUGUGAAAUGGUUUGUCCUGCAAAUGCAAUUUCACUAGAACUGUUACCAAGGGAAGAUGGAUCUACUCAUGGCAAAGCUGCAUGUGGUAAAUUCCAGGGUGGAGUUAUAACUGAACGUUGCUAUGGUUGUGGCCGGUGCAUUCCUGUAUGUCCCUAUGAUAAAAUAACUGUUUUAGGAGCUGCUACAUAUGUCAGAGAUGCAGCUGAGACAGCUCAACUUCUUAAGAGAAGUGAUGUGGAUGCUGUAGAGAUACAUACUAGUGGAAGGCAAACUGAUUGUUUUGAAGAACUCUGGAAUAGAUUGGGAGAUUCAAUUUGGCAUGUGAAGCUAGUUGCGGUUAGCUUACCAUAUAUUGGGGAUUCAACCGCUGCUACAAUGAGCAGAGUAUUCUCAAUCAUGGGUCCUCGUCUUAGCUGCUACAAUCUAUGGCAGCUGGAUGGCCGUCCCAUGAGUGGAGAUAUUGGAAAAGGUGCCACUAGGGAAGCUAUUGCAUUUGCUGUUCAUUUGGCUGCACUAAGUGAUAGACCUCAUGGUUUUUUGCAGUUGGCUGGUGGCACCAACUUACAGACAGUUGAUAGUUUGAAGAAAGCAGGACUUUUCAAGAAAACAGAAAAUGGUUCACAGUAUGCUUUAAUUGGUGGGGUAGCUUAUGGUGGCUAUGCAAGGAAGAUUGUUGGAAGAGUUUUAAGUCAGAUACAAUCCCAUUAUGGCCUCAUGCACAUAGAGGAUCACCCUGACUAUUUCUUGGACGCACUUAAAGAGGCCCUCACUUUGGUUGGAACUGUCAAGUGCUAUCAUUUUCCUUCUGAUAUUUUCUAGAAGAAAAUUCCUCCGGAAGAGAUCCUCUCUGAAGUUUGAUAGUGGCGCAUGCACCAUUGCUCUCAAAUUCUACCAAUAUGUGUAAAGUUCAACAACAGCUCUUACAUUUUGUUUGAUGGUUAAGGAAUUUCAGUGAACCAAGUAGCUCGUUGAAUCCCCCUUAAAGUCUGGAAAUACACUGCGAACAACAGAUGGUACAAAGAGCCAUACAGCAUGAUUAUCAUGGUUAUGAUUAUGAUUAUGAUUAUGGGUUUGUUAUUGUUCAGGGGCUUACACCCUAAGGCUGCGUUUGGUUGCAAGGGAAAUGGGAAAGGGAAGGGAAGUGAAGGGAAGUGCAAGAAAUUUUUUUUCCCUUUCGAGUCGUUUGGUUGCAACAGAAGUGAAGUGAGAUUAAUUUACCAGAGUUGUUAGGUUGGAUGUAAAAUUGAUGUAAAAUAGAUGUAAAAUUUUAAAAAACUAGUAUACCAACCAAACUUAUUAAACUGUAACCAGUUACACCCCUUUCAUGUUUCUGGCACAAGAAGAACAAUAUAAUACUUUCCCUGAAAGAUCAGAUCAAAUAUUAUGUAAUGAUGUUCUUUCAUCUCUAUCAGAAUGUAAAUCAUUUUUGGGUCCUA